AAUAAGCACAGUUUUGCACGGUUCAUAUUUAACAUUUGACCGUUUAUCUUAUUUGAAAUUAUUUUAUGAUUAGUAUUUGUAUUGUUAUUAGAUGAUAAAACAUGAAUAGUAUUUUAUGUGUGACUAAUUUUUUAAAUUCUUCAUAAAUUUUUUAAAUAAGACGGACGAUUAAAUGUUGGACAUAGAUAGUCACGGUUGUACUUAUU
rfam:Oryza glaberrima chromosome 6 Oglab06_unplaced180_3, whole genome shotgun sequence.